rnacentral:rRNA from 1 species
GACGAACGCUGGCGGCGUGCUUAACACAUGCAAGUCGAACGGAAAGGCCCUGCUUUUGUGGGGUGCUCGAGUGGCGAACGGGUGAGUAACACGUGAGUAACCUGCCCUUGACUUUGGGAUAACUUCAGGAAACUGGGGCUAAUACCGGAUAGGAGCUCCUGCUGCAUGGUGGGGAUUGGAAAGUUUCGGCGGUUGGGGAUGGACUCGCGGCUUAUCAGCUUGUUGGUGGGGUAGUGGCUUACCAAGGCUUUGACGGGUAGCCGGCCUGAGAGGGUGACCGGCCACAUUGGGACUGAGAUACGGCCCAGACUCCUACGGGAGGCAGCAGUGGGGAAUAUUGCACAAUGGGCGGAAGCCUGAUGCAUCAACGCCGCGUGCGGGAUGACGGCCUUCGGGUUGUAAACCGCUUUCGCCUGUGACGAAGCGUGAGUGACGGUAAUGGGUAAAGAAGCACCGGCUAACUACGUG